GGGUAGGUGGCCGAGUGGCUAAAGGCGACAGACUGUAAAUCUGUUCUCGCGAGAGUACGGUGGUUCGAAUCCACCCCUGCCCACCA
rnacentral:tRNA from 2 species